rnacentral:rRNA from 1 species
UAGGGAAUCCUCCACAAUGGGCGCAAGCCUGAUGGAGCAACACCGCGUGAGUGAAGAAGGGUUUCGGCUCGUAAAGCUCUGUUGUUAAAGAAGAACACGUAUGAGAGUAACUGUUCAUACGUUGACGGUAUUUAACCAGAAAGUCACGGCUAACUACGUGCCAC